UUUGAGGUAACUUUCCCGAAUCACUCCUGCAAUAGACAUCGCAUACAGUUUUAAGACAUGAAAGCACACCGCGAGGCUUAUUUUGGUUUGAAGUUCACCCCGUUAAUUAAUAACAGUAAUAAGUGACAAUAGCACCUCUGCACAACUUGUCUUGGGGCGCAGCUUGCCAAAUGUUAACUAAUUAACCCCCCCCCCCCCGUAGAGUAUGCAAAUAGACUUCCUUUGUUGCUUCUUUGUGUUCUGAAAAAGUGCUUUAACCUCUGUCAAGUAUAUGCUCUUUCUACUUUGUUUCAGCCCCUGGAAUAUGAUGAUUUUUCAUUUCCAGAAUUUGUUCCUCCUCCUUUCCCCCUUCAUCUUUUUUCCAUCUUACCCUCAUAACAUUGGGAUAAUGGAGAUAUUUUGAGUAUGGGAGAGGAAGAGGCAACAAUUUUAUGCCCAUUAAAUGAACAAAUGGCACAACGCUCUAGGCUUCCAGGGUCUUUUCUUAUGACUUCUUUGUGGGGCCCAUGGCCUCUAUCUGGAGAAAAGCUGUGUUUGCAUUUCAGGCAACUGGAGGAAAGAGCACGUGUGUCAUUUACAGUGAAAGAAAACAGUUAAAGCUCACAUUACAAAUGUUUAUGCUGAUUUUGUAUCAUCCUUCUCAAAAAAAAAACAACCCACAAAAACCCAUGUGCACUCAAUUUCAGGUAAAUAUGCUGAAUAUGUGAAUGAAGCUCUUCCUUCCUUAAACUGAAAGAAUAUUUAAGGGGAAGAAAAAGACCAUUUGGGGCCCUGUAGUGGGUUUGAGAAGCGUCAGGUCUCAUUAUUACAGUUAGGGUUUGCUGCCACGGUGAGAUUCUUCUGCAGAGCUAAUCUCUUCAAUUUAAUAAAAAUUAUGUGACUACACCCGUCAAUAAUCUUACACUACAUUAACCGAGAUGCUGUAUUUUUGAAGAAAGUUGCUUUCUCCCUGUUCCUGCUUAAUCAGCCACCAAGCUGAGAGACUCUAAUCAAAUGGAAACACUGAAGCUCUUAGUUUUUAAUACCAAGUGAGAAUACACAUCACAAUUGUCAGAUCUUAAGUGCUUGAUGCGGUAGCUAAAAACAAAAUCUCAAAUACCUCAAUUCCUGCCUCUGGAGAGUGAAAGAACAUGAAUACGUUAGAGAUACUGCAUGGGCUGAGGAAAUAUAAACAUUGUUCCUAUUAUGGAAAUGAUAGUAAGACAGAAAAUGUACCUUCUUUGGUCUCAGGAGAAACAUUUUUCAUCUACUAAAUCAACUCUUUCUGGAAUAUGUUUAAUGUAUUUUACUGGCAGAUAUUGCUGGCACAGAAUUAGAAUGAAGCAAAAUGAAACUCUUACCCCUUCCUAAACCCACAACAUGCAACCCUUCAACUUCUGCUGAGAUACUUUGUAACCAUCACAGCUGAGACCUUGAAGAAGUGCAGCUUUGUCAUGGGAUCUUUCUGCUAAAAUAUUUUGAUUGGUGAAGCCGUGGUUUUAAAACUCAGAAGCCUUUGCCUGUGGAAAAGAACAUUCUCUUUCUCUUUUCUUUCUAAACAUUCCUCCUCCCCCCAGUUGUGACAUCACAGUUGGUUGCUGUGGAAAUGAUUGUCCUGUGACAAAGGAUUGUGACUUCAGGGGCGAAUAAAUAGAAGCAGCAGAUACCUCUUGAGAAGCAAAGAUUCUGUGAUUAAACAAAUGCCCUUGGUAAUGAAGGGCAGGGCAGGCACUUCACCCAGGGAAAAAGUCUGUAAGAUGGCAAGAUUCUGAAUAAUUUCCAAAUGUGACACUUCUCAAAUAUUUCCAGAUUUAUCUUCGUGAACUUUUAAGGGGGUAGAAACAGAGAAGCAAAAAACAGCAGGGGAUUCAGCUAUAACUCACACCUUUUAUAUCGUGGAGUUUCCCAAACGUAAGCUCUCCACCCGGUGUUGGGCUCGAACUCACGACCCUGAGGAUCCAGAGUUGCACGCUCAGCUGACUGUGCCAGCCAGAGUGAAUACCGUGGAAUAGGCGCCAGCAUUUGUAGCAACGACAUCGACAACACUGGCUUCAUAACACGCUGUUUCCUUGAUGUGUAGAAGAUGAUUUCUGUUACUUAUGCAUAUUUUAGUGCGAGCCGCACUAGGGCCACAUGUGGGGUGACGUUUCUAGGCCGUCCGAUAAAAGGGUCUUUGCACCAAGAUGUGCGUGGAUAAAAAGCUUUACUUACUGUGACA